GCGCACGUCGGGGCAGGAGCGGAGGGAAUGGGUAGGGUUGGACUGUUGGCCGGAGUGAUUGGGUUUGAAGGGUGCGGAGGCGGCCUUUUAAGGCAGCGGUGACAGAGCCCGGCUCAACCGGGGCAGGGCCGUUGAUACUGGAAGGCUUGAGUGUUGGAGGGGUACAUGGAAUUGAUGGUGUAGCGGUGAAAUGCAUAGAGACCAUCAGGAACACCGAUAGCGAAGGCAUUAUACUGGCCAACAACUGACGCUGAGGCACGAAAGCAUGGGUAGCGAACAGGAUUAGAUACCCUUGUAGUC
rnacentral:rRNA from 1 species